rnacentral:rRNA from 1 species
GACGAACGCUGGCGGCGUGCUUAACACAUGCAAGUCGAACGGAAAGGCCCUGCUUUUGUGGGGUGCUCGAGUGGCGAACGGGUGAGUAACACGUGAGUAACCUGCCCUUGACUUUGGGAUAACUUCAGGAAACUGGGGCUAAUACCGGAUAGGAGCUCCUGCUGCAUGGUGGGGGUUGGAAAGUUUCGGCGGUUGGGGAUGGACUCGCGGCUUAUCAGCUUGUUGGUGGGGUAGUGGCUUACCAAGGCUUUGACGGGUAGCCGGCCUGAGAGGGUGACCGGCCACAUUGGGACUGAGAUACGGCCCAGACUCCUACGGGAGGCAGCAGUGGGGAAUAUUGCACAAUGGGCGGAAGCCUGAUGCAGCAACGCCGCGUGCGGGAUGACAGCCUUCGGGUUGUAACCCGCUUUCGCCUGUGACGAAGCGUGAGUGACGGUAAUGGGUAAAGAAGCACCGGCUAACUACGUG